rnacentral:rRNA from 1 species
AGAUUGAACGCUGGCGGCAGGCCUAACACAUGCAAGUCGAGCGGCAGCGGGAAGUAGUUUACUACUUUGCCGGCGAGCGGCGGACGGGUGAGUAAUGUCUGGGAAACUGCCUGAUGGAGGGGGAUAACUACUGGAAACGGUAGCUAAUACCGCAUAACGUCUUCGGACCAAAGUGGGGGACCUUCGGGCCUCACGCCAUCGGAUGUGCCCAGAUGGGAUUAGCUAGUAGGUGGGGUAAUGGCUCACCUAGGCGACGAUCCCUAGCUGGUCUGAGAGGAUGACCAGCCACACUGGAACUGAGACACGGUCCAGACUCCUACGGGAGGCAGCAGUGGGGAAUAUUGCACAAUGGGCGCAAGCCUGAUGCAGCCAUGCCGCGUGUGUGAAGAAGGCCUUCGGGUUGUAAAGCACUUUCAGCGAGGAGGAAAGCAUAAAGGUUAAUAACCUUUGUGAUUGACGUUACUCGCAGAAGAAGCACCGGCUAACUCCGUGCCAGCAGCCGCGGUAAUACGGAGGGUGCAAGCGUUAAUCG